rnacentral:rRNA from 1 species
AUUGAACGCUGGCGGCAGGCCUAACACAUGCAAGUCGAACGAGUGGCGGACGGGUGAGUCAUGUCUGGGAAACUGCCUGAUGGAGGGGGAUAACUACUGGAAACGGUAGCUACUACCGCAUACCAUCAGAUGUGCCCAGAUGGGAUUAGCUAGUUAGUGGGGUAACGGCUCACCAAGGCGCAGAUCCCUAGUUGGUCUGAGAGGAUGACCAGCCACACUGGAACGAAGACACGGUCCAGACUCAUACGAGAGGCAGCAGAGGGGAAAAUUGCAAAAGGGGCGAAAGCCUGAUGCAGCCAUGCCGCGUGUAUGAAGAAGGCCGUGGGGUUGUAAAGUACUUUCAGCGGGGAGGCGUUACCCGCAGAAGAAGCACCGGCUAACUCCGUGCCAGCCGCCGCGGUAAUUC